rnacentral:lncRNA from 1 species
UUGCGAAUUGAUUUCUGAUCAUCACCACUUCUACCUUCCCUUUAACUGAGUGAUUUGUUAAAUGAUCUCUGAGCCUUUCCUCGCCUCUAGGGUUAUUUUGCGAAAUAAGACCAAGCUCAUGAGCUUAUUAUCCUAGGUCGGAACAAGUUGAUAGGAUUCUUUUUUUAUCCCCUCUCCUACCUCUUUCUUGAAAUGAUCUCCUUUGACUUGGUCUAGUUACCUUUGUUUUGUUUACAUUCAUUCUGAGUUUGGACUGCCAAUUCAUCAAUUACAUGGAAAAAAACUAUAUGGACGGAAACCAAUCAUGAUUGAAAAUUCGCUAUGCUCUUUGUAAACCAAUACUUGUCACAUUAGUCAUUAUUUUAAAUAUAUCUAUGAUAUUUAUACAACUUGGUGUUCUGUUCUUUCGUAGUAUCAACCAAAUGGCUGGUAGUUUCUCCAUCACAUUCUUUCUUCAAGUUGGUAGCUCCAAGACCUUUUACCUUUCUACAGUGUUUUGAUUCAUAUAUAGAAAGAUCACUCCAUAUUUGGUUUUCUUAUGAUAAAUCCAGCUCAUUCUUUGUCAUCAUAAUCAGAAUUAUAGACAUCGUAAAGAGAUUAAUACGAGAAUCCUUUGGCUAUUUGAUUAGUUUCUUCUCCAUUGUCUGACUUACGAUGUAGAGGCAUAGAUCUAUGGCUUUUUGACGCUCCUGAAGAAUACUUCCUGGCACAGUCAGUGGCAGUGAAAUUCAAUGAGAUUAAGAAAAUUAAUUUUGAUUUACUGGUGGAUCUUAAAAUGUAGAUGAAUGUAUUAAGUACUUCAGUUUUUAGACAGUUCGUGCUGCGAAAUCAAUUGCUUGUUUGUGCUUAAUUCCAUCCAUCGUUAUUUAACAGGUACUAAAUGCAAUCAGAAUAUUCGCUGAUUUUGUGGGAAAUAUUCAUGCAGAUGGUGCUGGCUUUUUAAGAAUGUUGUCAUGAUUACCUUUUCCUAUGUUUAUUAUGAGUGUCUUGCUCGGUGUUGGUGACCUUUUUCCAUUAUCCAUUGAUGUUAGAAAUAGUUUUUUAUAAAUAUUUUGAUUUUAGUUUUUCAUUACAUUUGAUGCAAUGAAAAAUUAGCUAAAUUUUAUUUCUCCAUUUCGAUGUAGGUACUCUAAUCAGUAUGUUGAUAAGGAUGCUCUCAUAUAUCUCAUCAUGGCAAACGAGAUGCUGCAUGAUCUUCAUCCGGAUAUCAUUACAAUUGCAGAAGACGUAAUGAUUAACUAUCUUCUAUGAAUACAAAAUAUGUUCAUGCCCUGUUAUUCAUAUUCAUUUCCAUUAUAAUCUGUCAGGCUGUAUAUGAAUGAAAGAAAACUUGAGCUUGUCCUUUUCUUUUUUCUGGAGAAUUACAUCGGCACACACAUAUAUAUUUUCCUACAUCAAUGGAUAUUUCGCACAUCAAACAUAUUUUCCUACAUCAGACUUAUUUUCCUAUGUAUAUGUAUCUAUAUAUACAUUUUUUCCUACAUCAAACUACUUCGGCGUUCAAACAUCAAAUAAAUGUGGUGACUAUUGUGAAGAACUUCUUUUAGGUUGAAGCCACGAAUCCCUUUCCUGCAAAUGGUUCCUUCAAUCCUUCUUCUAACACAAAAUGACUUAAAAAAGGUUCUUUAUCUUGUAGUAUGGUUUCAAGUAAGCAUCAUUUACUGCUUCUUAAGUUCAGGAGGAUCAAUACUGUAUCUCGAAAUGUUCUCUUUGUUAUGAACAUUCUCUUCACGUGCAUAAUUUUGGGAUAUGGUUCUGCUUAAAAUGAAGUAAUAGUACUACCCUUCUGAAAUCCAUACUUAUAUUUUCUGUGGUAAGGGAACCCUUUUCUGUGUUCAUUUGUGAAAAGGCCAGAAUUCACCUUUUUCUGUCAUGCUUCUCGAAAUGCCUUCAAUAACUAUCCUAAUCCAGUUGCAACGCCAUAUUCAAAUGACUAAAAUAUCGUUUUCUUGCAAGAGUGGGAACACUAUUCGUUUCAAACUGUUAUUUAAGAUUGGAAGCAAUGAUAGUAAGUUUCUUCUGCCUUGUUGUGGGGUUAGGUUCAGAGGAUGACAUGAUAUCAUACAGGGAAUGACAUGAAAGCCUGAAAGGAACUGAGGCCUUGUUAUCAUGAACAUUAGGAGUUUCAUCUUGACACUAUUAUGUAACAAGGUGUGGAAUCUUAGUGGAGAAGCUCUAUGGUUAGAAGUGUUGGGAAGAUAUACAGUAGGAGAUACUGAAUAUGGAAUUUACAGCCUCACACUAGAAACAAUGUCUGUAGGAAGUGCCUUAUAUUUAUCCAAAUGAGGAUGAGAAGGUGAGGCAAAUGACAGCAUUAGUCCCAAUGGCUUUCCAAGUCUGAGGCUCAGCCCAGAGAAACCUUAGGAUAAUGGAUAACUUCUGUCCUGUGAUCUGUUUUCUUCCUUAAAUGGAAAAAAUUCAGACAAUUUUCUGCGUAGUUAGCAGUCACUGUGAUUAUUGGAUAAUGUAUUCUUAGCCAUGUAUUCUCAUAAACAUUUUAGUAUAAGCAUCUGUAUUACAUUUUGUAAAUUCAGAUUCCAAAAGGCCAUUCAACAUGAUAUUUUUCAGAAACUCUUCAUAAAUAGGCAUAAAUACUGCCAUUUGGCAUGCGUGUGGGAUGUUAUAGGAGUUCCAAGAUGCAGAUUUUAUGAAUAUUGCAUCUGGAUCCUCACAGCAAACUUUCAUGCUUGUCAACAAGAGCACUUCAAUAUUGUAUGAGUAUUUCUCGUUAUUUAGUCGAAUGGGAGCCUGUGAAUUCUCACUUAAAUGUGAUGUCGAUAAUAUUUGAAUGUUUCUUUUCCAUGUGUUGAAGUGUAGAGGUAUGAACGAAGUUUCAAGUCAUAUUUUAUUUGUGAAUAUCUAACUUUGUAUGUUCUCCUCAGUCUGAUGAACAUAUGAGAUCUGGAUUUCCUCUGCAUUCUUUAAAUUUCAGUUCUCUCCCUGAGAAAACAUCUGUUGGGGAUAUUGAAACUCUGUACUGCAUUACAGCCGUACAUGCACUGAAGUCACAUAUGGGGACUAGAAUGGUGUUAAUAAAGGAAUUCUAGCUUUCCUUGUGGGAAGUGCGAUUUUUGGCGGUUAAUGGGAGGAUCGUAGGUUUAAAAAUUCUAAUUUUCAAAAUAUGUUGUUUUCUUAGAAAUCUAUACCCUUUAAGUCCUUUUUCUUUUCUAUAAUUUUUUGCCUAAAUAUUUUGCCUUGGAUCAACUGACAUGACAUCUAUUUUAUGUCUGUCACUGACAUGGUAUUUGUUGUGGCAUACCGUUGGAUAUUAUUUUUCAUAAAAUCUAUUCUUUCCUACGUCUGGUACAUAAUUUUCAUACUUGUUUUUGAUGCAGGCAACCUUUUACCCUGGAUUAUGUGAGCCAACUAACGAAGGUGGUCUGGGAUUUGAUUAUUUUGUAAAUAUGUCGGUCUCUGAGAUGUGGUUGUGGUUCCUUGAGAACCUUCCUGAUCGAGAUUGGAGCAUGAAUAAGGUCUCUCUUCCUUCAAAUUGUGAUAUAAAGCAUUUUGGAAAUUUCACUUUUCAAUCAGUUGAAUAUUGUUUCUCUGGACUUGGCCACAAAGUUUCAAGUAUAGGUACCCCACCUGAGAGUUUGGGCUUGGGGAGGUCGAGGAUCACAUGUCAAUUGACAUUAAGGGUUCAAUUGCAUGUCAAGCAUGCUUCAGAGCCCAAGAAAAAAAGCGAUUCAUGCUUCUUAGGAGAAUAUAUGUUGACUAGUUUCCUGAUUUGAGCCUUGAAUUCCCUUGCUGCUUGAAGAUUUGCAGCCUCAGAGUUGGAUAUCCUCUUUUAUGCUUUUCUUCUCACAGUGCUUGUGAAGAUACAGUGUCUUCUUUCCCAUAGUUUCCAUAUUUCAUUUUCUCAGGGGAAGCAAGGGUGAGAUUUGGAUUUGAAGCAAAGGAUUUUUAAGUUGCAAUCAGAGAAACAUGAACUUGUACUGAAUUUUCUAGGACGGCUAGAUUUUUCACACUCAUGCAAAAAAAUGCCCCCUUGAAGCCCAUUUCAUUUGGGUGUUGCCCACCUUAAUCAGCAGUUCAUUCCCUGGUCUUCACUAACCUUUCCCCUCAUGAAAGAGAUCAAAAUACUAAACUCCUUGUCCAUGUCGCCUUCAAGUUGUUUUUUUUGGCAUUGAUACGAAUCAAUGACUGCAAUGACCUUGAAUUUCUGUCAUCAUCAUGCAAGGCGAAAUCAUCAAAGCCUCCUACUUUUCAAAGAAGUAUGGAUGUGUACGUAAGGUGGACUUUAUUGUUCCAGAAGCAACCUUGCCUCCACUUAACCAUAGUUUGGUGUGUAAAUGUUAAUCACCCCGAACUAAAAAUGAAUCUAGGCUUUCCAAUAACUUUUAGCAAUUCCCUGAUAAAACAAUGUGAACUCCACUGUUAGUGAUCUUUUAUUAGAAAGUAGUGAUAUUUUAUUGUUUCCUUACAGAAACAUUUGCUUUUUCCUCUCCAAAGCCGACAAGAGCUAUCUCUAACAUAUGGAGGGUACGAUCUGUAGAAUCCAACUGUAUUUGUAGAACUCUUUUCAUAACAGUGAAUCUUGUAUUGCACAUUCUAAAUAUAAAAGUAGGUAUGCUCUCAAUGUCCUGGUUAUUUGUUAUGGCUAUAUUUUAAUUCAUCUCCAGUUUUUUCACAUUUCAAUAUGCUUAUAAUAAUAUGGAAUGACUGCAGAUUGUGGCUGGGCUUGUUGGUAACCAACAAAACCUGCAGAAGAUGCUCAUUUUUGUGGAAAAUCAUAAUCAGGUUAAAUUUUAUUCCUACUUCACAAUAGGUAUUUGUGUUUCACGUAUUCUACAACAUGGUCUUUUCCUGAUAUCAAAUAUGCAUGUGAAUUGUUGAAAAAAUCAUCAAGAACUUUUUUCCUGAUUAUUACUCUAGGCACUUAGUUGACUUUUUGUUUUAAGUGUUUAGCUGCAUUUUAGAGCUGUCUUAAAUUUGACCAUGGCUUUUGAGAUUAAAGGGGCAAGUAAUGUAAUUGCCAUUCUUACCUAUUUGAGGUUGAGGCUAUCGGAAUUCUGAAUCGUAUCAUAUUGAGGGGGGAAUGUUGUAAAAGUCUGAGGGCAUUUUGGGAAAGAUCAUGUAGGGUUUCCUCCCUCUUUUUAGGGGUGAUAAAGGUCAGUGAAGCUUAAGGUGGCUGCCCGGCAUGACAUAGAACGCAAUGGGUCUACUAGAGAUGACACAGCAGGAUUUCGCAGAGCUCCAGGUGUUUGCUCCCUCUGGACUAUGCGGGCGGUUGUGCAUUUUGAGUUUGAAAGUAGCUGCUUAGGGGAUUUACACCCAUAUUCUAGUCUUGAAACAAUGUGCUACUUUUUGUUGCACCUUUUUUCGGUUCACAUAGCAUAGAAAUGAUUAUGACAGGGCCUAAAUGAGCAACUAUGUUUAAUAAAAGAAUAGAUGGGAAAAAAUGUACUUUAGUAGACUUUUUUCUUCUGAUAUCCUGGCAGAUGGGAAGACUGUUUAACAGAGUAACAAUUAGGAAGUUGUGGGAGCGCACAGUGUUCUGAGGUAUGUGGUUGAUUGGGAAAGUAUAUGACUGGAUAAGAAAAAGGAGGUUUGAUGAGAAACAAAGAUUCUGUAGCUGGGACGAAGUGGAAAAGAAAUAUGUCCUCUGUCCCUGCCCCUAUGAGCACAUAAGUAGAUAUGAUGGGAUGAACUCUGGCUCGUUAUAUACAUAUGCAUAUAUAUUAUACAUAUAUAUACAUAUAUCUGUGUAUGCAUGCACAUGACUUCUGCAGAUCUAUGGGAGACGCCCUUUCCUUUUGAUGCAGUUAUUUUAUAUCCUCAUGUUAAUGAUAAAAAGAAAGAUUUAUCAACAUCACCACAUUAAGCCAAUCACUGAUACUCCACUUUCAAGUGUGCAUGACUCGUAGGCCCCUAUGCCUAAUGCGAAGGUCAUUGUCCUAAUAUCUUACAUGUUGGAGUAAUCUCAAGGCCAAUACCAUAUGUUUAAGCAGUUCCUCGAAACCCUUGAAAUAAUUGAGGUUAAUAUUUCAGUUUGUGUCUUGCUAGUAUAAUGUUCGAAUAGCGAUUUAUAAUUCGUCUCCUGGCUUCCCUACCCUGCUUCUCUUGUGACAAAAGGAAGAGUGACUGUUUAAAGGAUUUUAACUACUAUAACUACCUGCGAACAUCUUUUUAUCUAUUUUUUAUAUGGUACAGCAAGAGUCAUAAAACAUCUACGCAAUAUGAACUGAUGCCAAUUUCAGAUUGUAGUACUUAACUGAAAGCAUGUGAACUCAUGUUCCAAGAAGAUUUGUUUUAUUUAUUUCCUGAUGUUUUUAUUCGAAUCUUGUUCUUGUAGUCUAUCUCUGGAGGAAAGUCAUUUGCAGAGAUAUUGCUAACCAGAAAUCAUGAAGUUCACACUGAUUCAGAAAAUGCAUUGGCUAGAAGAUCGUCAUUAUAUAAGGUAUGUCAGGAUCCUUGCAAUCUAAGAAUCUGGUACCCUUCUUCCAUUCGCUUUUCUUUUGAAACUUCCAUAGUGUGUUGUCUGGUUUUACUUUCUGGAUGGUGGAUGGCGAUCCACCAUUAGAAAGUGCAUGCAUCAAGUAUUAUGCGUUUAGAGUCAGGCUGUUAAUGACUGUCACACGUGAGGAUCCAGAAAGAACCCCUAGAAAAACCCUAGCCUGGUGUGUCAUUGAAACAUAACCAGAGGAAAUAAAAUUCUUGGGGUGAAACAAAUUUUCGUAAUCAUUUGUGAAUCAGGUGAGUCUGUGUAAUUUCCAGGUUCUGUGAAAGCCAAAUUUUCUCUAGCUCUGUAGCCAAAUGUCAUAUGAUUAUCUCCUUGGCUUGAUUCCUUAGGAUUCCCUGCAUUCGUCUCCUUCAAAAUUGCUAAAGAAGUAGAUUGUAGCAUUAGUGAACACCUUCCAUGUUCAGAUCUGGUGUUUCGUGCUUAACCGACAACCCCAUUAUGGAAACCACACAAGUUGUGCCACUGUAAUUACGAAGACCUCAUGAGCGUAUUUAUGGUACUUUUAUUGGAUAUUUUUUGCCCAAAGGAGCAAGGCCAAUGAAAAUCUAGGUGUGUGUUUAUAUCUUGACUGAACAUGGCCCUCUUGUCUUCAGCAGAUAAUAUCUCCUUUAAUUUGAUAAAAACUUUUCAUAUUUCUGUUAGCCCCCAUUCCAGACAGGAACUUCUGAUUCCUUAAGUCACCAAUGUGGUGCACACUAAUUUGGAAAGAAUUAUUUAUUGCAGAUAUAUGCGAAGCAAAAGUUUGCUACAGGCUUGGAUCAGCAUUUCCCCCACUUGACCUAUACCCUUUUUCAAGUGCUAGCAGUCAUGUCAUAGUCCUUAUCAUUCCAUCAGAGAAAGGCAUACUUAAAUAUUUGAUGAAUAACUAUGUUUUUUAUUGACCAAGAGCUUAGUUGUAGUUCCAUCUCGUUACAAUAAAUCCCUGUUCUCACCUUUUCUUAUAUAAUAUUGUUGACUUCAGUGUCAUAUCCAUCUCCAUGUAGAGUACUAUCAUCUACAUUUUGACACUCUGUUCUGGGCUUCUGCCUUAGCAGUACGACGAUGCUGGUAGAAUUCAGAUCUCUUUUUUUGAGGUGUGGAGGAAAUUUAAGGGUCUCAGUGGUGAUCCAGUUUAUCCACGGUUUUUGUAGCCCAUAAACGAAGGAGCUUCGUAAUGCUAUGGCAGGUCGCUUUGUCAUACAUUUUAAAGUUUGAGUUGUAAAUGAUGAGGUUUUUUUUUUCUCUUUUCAUGUUGAAUCUCCAUAGGGAAACUAAAAAUCCAUGUAACAUUCAUUUCUGUCAUAAAGGCUGUAUGAUUAUUAUCCACAGAUUUAAACUAGUUCCUUUUCAGUCAUUUCCUAAUGCUUCUUGAUAUCUAAUCGCUCCACUUUAAGAAUGCUGACGGGUCUGUAAUCUUAAAUUUGGUCAGCUCGUUUCAUUGGAGAGGGGCACAUUAAUGAAAUCAAAGUUUUUCAAGGGCAAUGAAUUUCCCGAAACUAAAACUCACAGAGAACGUAACAGAGCCAUAAGGUUUGGUCGUGUCUGAAUUGAACAGAGGACAAAAAUGGCGACAUCAUUAUAACAUUUGGGUAUGAAAGCACAAAAAUAAGAAUGAAAUCUUAGAACUAUUUUAACUUUUCACUGAUAUGAUUAUGGCACAUUGUUUUUGUCGCAACCUAAGCAUAUUAUUACGGGCACAAAAAUGAUAUUACGCAUAAUGUGCCAGAAAAGUAAAACAAAGUGUUAUAAAAGUUGAGUGUCCUAAUUUUUUAGUGUUUGUGCUAAUAGAAGCUGCCCAACUCCAUUGAAAAAGUGCACCCUCCUAAUAUACAUGUUUUGAGCUUAUAUUUUAAUUUAGAGUUAUUUUAAGUAUGGUCGGCAUACUUUGUUGAGGUUUCAUGUCAUGCAUUUUAAAUUCAAGGGGUGGAUCUUAAGUAUAUCUGUGUGCUCUUCAUUUCAGUUGAUGAAACUUAUAACAUUCACCAUCUGUGGACGUGCUUACUUAAACUUCAUGGGUAAUGAAUUUGGACAUCCAGAUGUAAGAUUGUUUACUAUUUAUAUUAUUUCUGGAAGCUUAAAUUUGUUUCCUUUAUCCUUCAAAAAUUCCAACCUUUCCUUUCGUUGCUCGUUAAUAACAUUGAUAGUUUUUUUUGUUUCUAGAGGGUUGAGUUCCCAAUGUCAACAAACAACUACUCAUUUUCAUUGGCUAAUCGCCGAUGGGAUUUACUGACAGAUGGACUUCAUAGCAGUAUUUUCAACUUUGAUAAGGUCUGAAUUCUAUCGUGCUUGUUAUUGUAAGACGGUAUUGGCCUUUUACUGAUUACAUGAUCUAAAAAAAAUGUAUACGCUACUGAACUACCUUGCUUCUAAUUGUCAUUGAGCCUAUUAUGUGUUGAUUUCCAUAAAGUCGUGUAAAAUGGCUUCUUAAUUCCUUUAUGGGUCUUAUGAUGUUCUUGUUAUUGUUUUUUUAAUUAUGUUCAUUUCUGUAGAUGACAAGCUGCAAUUUUCUCUUAUUGCCAUUCUAAUUAUAAUAAAUCUAGUUAGCUAUUUCAACACUGUUUUUUUUUCAAACGAUUCGAUAAUGGAAAUGGGAUAUAAUCAUCUUCAGGAUGAUCGGAUCUUAGGCGAUGAGAAGAAAGAACAUUAGUAUAGAUUGCUGUAAAUGUCUGACGAGAUAUAAUCUCAGAAUGACGGAUCUAUCACGGUACAAGAAAUGGAAAAGGGAAAACAAGGGGGUGGAAAAUGCAUUCGAGAGGAUCUCCCGGCCUCUCCUAGUGCGGACUUCCUUCUGUGCCCCUUAUGUUCCUCAGAGGUCUAUAUUUUUAGCCUUCAGUCAGUCUCAUUAGAGGCUACCAGUCUAUGGAAGUCUCUUGAAGCUUCUCCCGUGUGCUGUGCACAUGUCUCCCUCUUCUGCCGUGUACACUUUAUUAAUGGGGUUGUAACAGGAUGCAUAGACUCUUCCACCAUGGGAGAGAAGCAACAUAUCUUUCUCACCUUACGAUGCCCAGCAGGAAGCAGUCCGUACAGCCACAAGGUAGAGGAACCAUCUUCCUGGUUUCAUGAUAGCCUUGCUGCCGACUGUGUCUUGUUCUUAACAGUUCCUUAUAACAAUCCUACAUAUGCCUUCUGUAUCUCAUGGAGCAUAAUGAUAUAGUCCCCAGUCCCCACAUAUAGGCUCAGCCCAAGGUAGAAUACGCUUCAGCCUAUCAGUAUAUGAAAUCACAUGCUACCUUGACUGUGCGAUAUCCUUCCUGGUGUUUAUUUGCAGAAGCAUUAUGUUUCUCAUAGAAACUAAUUCUCUUAAGCCUGCAUGUUAGCAUACUACAGACAGACAGUGUGGAUGGGAAUCCUACAUCAAGAUGAUACAGAAAAAUCUAUCUUCGUGAAAGGUAUAUAAGAUGAUAUCGGCUGUGGAUGGUCAUGUUCUACAUGUUGUUACUGGGUAAAGAAUAGUAAAGGGAGUUAAUGCAAAAUUGGCAUCAAUAGGGAGAGAAGGAAAAACAAGAGAAAUAAUGGGCUCUAUCUCUAACAUAUUGGAGUGCAAAUAUGCUUGCAUACAACCCUUAAGAAUGUGCAAACAUAACAACAUUAGAAAUGUCCUAUAUAUGUAUAUCUUAAUGUUGAAUUUUUAAGUUGAUAUGAAUUAACAGUGUUGGUCAUAGUUUUGUUAUCAAUUUUUCCGUUCGAAAUUUGUCUUCUUGAAGUUUUUCAGGUGACAUGGCUUUCAGGUGUUAUACAAUGUCCAUCGUAGUCUCUGCUUAUUGUGCAGAAUCCUAAUACAACUUCUUUCUUUUUAGGACAUGAUGAAGUUGGAUGAACAUGAAAAAAUACUUUCUAGAGGUUCUCCUAGCAUUCGCCAUGUAAACGAUUCUACCAUGGUAAGGACAUUCAAACACCUGUGUUAUCAGCAUUCUACUUUUUCGGAUAUUUGAUAGAGUCUUGUAUUGUAAACCCUGCCUGUCAAUGGCAUUUACCAUUAUCAGAUUGUUUAUGAUUCAACGGUAUGUUGGACUGUGCUAUAAGGUUUACUUUGAUUUGAAAAAAUGAUAAAUGAAAUCGGAAAUGGAUAUAAAUGGUUGAAAUUCUCUUUUGAAGUACUAGCUAAGCAGUUAUUCUCUAUAUAGCAAAUUCAGUAUGCUCGCCUAUAAAAUGCUCUAGAUAUUUGAAAAUUCCUUCAAUUUCUAAUAUUAUCAUCUUCAAUAGAUUUGAUCGUUCUAUUCUUGUUCCAUAGAUUCAAUUUUAAGUGAGUGGUUAAUUUUCUUUGUACGCGUGUCUUUUCGAUUAUGUUGCUGACAAAAGUUCUCUAUUGCCUUGUUUUUGCCUCAUAUGCGACUUCCACCCUAAAAAACUCCAUGUGCUCCCUUUAGUUGUCAGAUUUCUUAAACUUCAUCAGUUAGAAGGGUAGAAACAAGACUAGAAUAUGUGGAGAGAGCAUUUGCUGGAUCAAGGCUAAAUUUUGUUAUCUGGCUCAACCAUGACUGAUGAGAAUUAACUGGACAUGUAACUCUUUCGCAUAUUUUAUCACACGUUCAUGCUGCAGGAUACUAGCAGACAAGGCCUCGGAGAUUAAAUUGUGGGAAAAAAUUUCACCCGUAAGUUGCUGCUUAUGAUGUCAGGUGCUAUGAUUGGUGGCCAGACAGUGGAUGGAGGGAAUGCGGGUUAAAAUCCUAGAAAUUAAAGAUCUGAACUUUUUCUUCAGAAGGUUCCGAUUAGAGGACAACCUGAGAGUCUUUUUUCGCAUAUUCUCAAAACUAGUUGAUCAUCUCUUUGUUUUUAUGGGAUUCCAAAUCGUCUUUUGGGAAAAAAAAUUUCGAAUUAAUGCACCAGAUGUGGCACACAGAAAUUUGAAAUACCGUUUACUAGAUGUGAUCAGGAGGACCAACUUGUUUUUCCACUAGCCUUAUACAGCCCUCUAGUUCUUUGCUUAGCAAAUGUCUACCAUGGAGUCAAUAACUCAUGAAGUCUUCAAACUAGAAUUAUUUUAUUUUAUAAAUGUUUGUGAGAUGGUUUCCCUGAAUAACAUGAGAACUUUUUCUGCACCCUUAAUCUUUUUGUGAUUAAUAUAAAACUAGUUUUCUCACGCAGAAAACAAACGGUAUUCAAUCAAAACAUUGUUAUAUUUGGGAAACCGGAAACUCUGGCCCUUUCCGCCUUAAUCCAUGGAGUCACCUUGGAAUCCCGGUUACUUUCCUCCAGUUUUCAUUAAAGCAGUUUUUGUUAUUGGAUUUGUAAAUGCGAGGAUCCCCAAACUUGUCAUUAUGCCAAAAUCAUCAUUCGUCUAAGUGAUUAUCCAGCUGUUCCAGUUCACGGACAUGCAUCGCACUGUUUAUUUCAUUUCUCCAACCAAAUUUCUCUGUAGAAACGUGCGAUCAUUUAGAUCAACCCAUAGACAUUCGUCUUAUUCAAAGUGUCUAGAUGAUAUUAUUAAAAUCUUCUAAAUAUCCAAAUGGAUGGUACACUGAUGUUGAUUUUUUUUGGUUUAAUAUCACAGGUCAUCUGCUACGAAAGAGGUCAAUUUCUGUUUGUAUUUAAUUUUCAUCCUGAGAACUCGUAUGAAAAUUAUAUCGUAGGAGUAGAAGAAGGUGGAGAGUAUCAAGUAAGACUCUAGUAUCAAUGUCUUGAAACUUUCUUUUCUUAUAGAUCUCUUUCUGCUGUUUUGAUGAAAUCUAUUUUUAUUGCAAUGGUCAUUGGGUUCUUAAUACACCCAUCACGUUCGUUUAUUAUUAUUUUCCCAGUAUAGCUGUUUACUCACUAGCAAGCUCCCCUAUCAUCAUAAGGAAAAAUCAAAUAGAUAAAUUACACAACCGUAUGUUAAAACCAGAAAAAUCAAUUAAAUGCAUUGGAGUCUUGAUGGAUCGCGUUGGAAUGCUUCAACAUGUGAAAUGAUCUAGAACUUCAAUCAUAUGUGAUGAGACUCAAAUCUUAGAAUUUCUGUCUUUUGUUGUUUCUAUCUAGGUUUCUCUUACAAUCACAUCCUUUUUAUUUUUCUUUUGGGAGGGUUUGGUUGUGGCUUGAGAACCCACCAGGUUAAUAAAUAAUAAGGAAAUCUUAAAUCUCUUUAUAUUCCACAACUUUUUUCGGCUUCUUACAUCAUACUGUUCUGUAGACAGAUGCCUUGGGUCAACGCCUGAGUUGACUGUGUUUUUUCUCUUUUUCUUUUUUUGCUGGAGUCAUUAUGUCAACCCGAUUGGUGACUGUUCGCAUUUAGUCACUCUAACUUGACACUUCCAUUUUUGUAUUAGCUUAUUUUCUGCAUAAGUUGGCCUAUUGCUUUCAGUGAUAAAUCCUUAUCAUAUCAUCAUUUUAGAACAUUUUGAACUUCUAAAACCUGCCACUUGGUGUUAAUCAGCCAGUUAUUCAAACAUUUGUCAUCUAAACCAAUGGAUGCUGAUUACUGGCAAAAACUGAUUUAAAUUAUUAUUGGACAGGUGAUAUUGAACAGUGAUGAAGUUCAGUAUGGUGGAAGUGGACAGCUCAAGGAUUCUCAGUACACUCAGAGAACAAGUAAUAGAAGGUGCCAUUACUUCACCCUGCUAAAUCUCUACUCCCUCAUGAAAAUUCCUCCGAAAAGUUUCUACAAAUUGACUGAAUUUUUUCUAAUGUUACCCGGUAAAAUGCUGGUCCUAUUCCACCUAUUUCAGGGCAGAUGGACUCCGUAACUCUCUGGCGCUGUCGAUGCCUGCCAGAAGUGCUCAGGUAGGCUAGAUAUUUGGAUCACUCCAUGGAACCGCACACGCCCAUUCCAUUCCAUUUUUGGAUAGUCUUGGAAGGAACCUCAUUCUCUCACGGUUUUCAGGUCUACAAGCUGACUAGAAUAUUAAGAGUAUGAACAAUCUCAGGGGUAGCAAGAGUUAUACAAGUCCAGCAUCAAGGGUGCUCAGUGUGAAUCCUUCACCACUUUUUGAAAGAGAUUUAGAGAAGAACUCCAAGUACCAAUGCACCCACCCACUGAAAGUUCCAAUCAGAAGAACAUCGACAAGAAAGGUUUCUGAUGCUCUUCCAGUUGAUGGAUUCUGAAUCUUCCAUCCAUUCCAGUAUGGAUCCCCAGCCUUCUGGGCAUCAUUUUUCUGGACUCCCCUUGAACCAUCAAGACGUUGAGACAUGGAUCAAGCUCUUAUCACUCGCUCCAAAUGAUCUGUUGGAGGAACAGGCUUAACAAGAUCAACAUGGGGGAGUAGAACUGCGGUACUGCAAAGCCUUGAGGUAUAUAUAGCCGAUUGAUUAAGCCAGCUGUUCUCUUAAAUGGGGUUAAUAGAAAACCAUGUGGUUUGUAUGAAUCAUAUUGAGUGUGGGCAGCAAUUUUAUACUCUUGAUGGAAAAGAGUCACAGGUGAUGAUUUUCUGCUUAUGUGCCUAUUUUUUUUUGUACAUCACACUUCGUAUAGAAUAAACAAUCGAAAGCCAACGGUGGCAGUCCCACUAUUAUGUUUGGUAUAUUUGUGAAUAUUUUGAAAUGUUGGGCACACAUUAGGUCUUAUGUGUUCUACCCCUUUCACCUCUCUGUAUAUAUAAAUUGGUGAGGAGAGGCCCACAGAGGAAACCCCAAACCCCAAUAUUGUAACCCUUUUCUUUUCAACAGUAAAAAUAAUAAUAAGAAUGUGAGUUUUCUUCUCCAAAUUAUUGGGAGAACAUUAAUUUUAAAGGAAGCUAAUCUCUGAUCCUUUUGAAGAGGUGUUCUUUUCAAGUUGUGAUGCAUCAACAUUUCUAUGGAGUGAAAUUGAUACGAACCCAAAAGGUAAUAGUAGAGUUUAUCUCACGAUUUCGUAUCAAAUGUAUAGAGUUUUUGAAGUCAAAAUUUCCUCUACAAGAUGUGUGAACAAGAUAGAAGAAUGGGAACGAGGUACUAUAGCCUCCAUAUCCACCAGUGUUGGAUGCAAUGCUUGACAAGAGCUUCCUCUAACAUGCCGUCUCUCUCCCUCCUGUGGCAACCUAGUCACAACCUCUUAAUGCCUCCUCUUACUUGCUCCUCGUCCAAUAAUAAGGGUGGUCUUUAUAGGAGCCCCUUUUUUACCCUUACUUCCCACCUACUUUACCUAGACAUGUGUUAUCAUGUGCUCUUAUUAAUAAGACUCUAUUUUACCUCUUCUCUGAUAUGUGACUAAAGGGAUUGUAUCAUUAUCCCCCUCAUCUAGUACCACCUUGUCCUCAAGGUGGAAGGUAAGGAACUGCUUCUUUAAUACUUUAAUUGGUUCCCAUGAAGCUUUCAGUGAUGAUAGAUUCUACUAUUUGAUCAUUUAAGCAUGCCCAAUCCUCCUCAUCAUGUCCCCCCUCUUGUGAAAUUUUAUCUCUAUCAAUUACUAGUAUGAUUUGUAAGAAUUUCUUGCAUCAAUGGCCUAGUCCAUAUUUUUUGCUGCAAUGAAAACAUAAUCCCUUUUCCCUUUGUGCUUGGAGUUUUGACUUUGUGAGUGUGAUAUGCCUCUUUUGUAUCAUAGAUUUAGAAUGAGGGAUGGCUGAUUGUCUUUGAUUUUUUGUUCCUUGCUCAUCAUACUUGAUUUGAUAAUGAAAAGUCUCUUAAGUCAGAAUUUGCAACCGAUGUGUAUCUUUGGUUGUGGCAUGCUGCUUAGUAAUAGCCAAGUUGUCUAUAUUUUGGUGUUAGUGAUAUCUUGGACCCUCCAUAUAAGACUUGCAUCCUCUGUCCAUUGGGGCUACCCAUGCUUGUCAUAUGGCGUUCAACCUUUUUUUUACAUGUAAGGCUACAUCCAUGAUUGUUCACAAUGUAAUGAGAUUUUCUCUAGAUAUUUUGGCUUGUAGUUCUAGUUUCAAACCCUUGAUAAAUGUUUG